rnacentral:rRNA from 1 species
GACUUUACAAUUAAAAAAAUAUAAAUCCCUAUUUAGGUUAUAUUCGCUCCUACAUAUACAUCCGUUAGUCGUAAAGUACGUCUUCAAUUGGAUCCAAAUCAUGAAGCUAUAGUUGGCGGUUAGAUGUAAAAUCUCAGUUUUCAUUAUUUUUAUACCUUUAUUUGAAUCGUACUAACCGUCCACCGUGGAGUGUAAAGACAAGUAAAAGACAAUAUAGUCGCAGAUUUCGCUGGUAUAAUUGACGACCGUCUUUUUCUUGCUUUGUCAUCUGUGGUACCGUAUAGGUAUCAUAGUUCAGACUAAAUUGACCGGGUGAUGGGAAACCGUUAGAUCAAAGUGAGGUUUUAACUCGAUUGCGGUAUCACUAAACCAAAAGGUAAGGGUUCCAGGUCGAGAAUCAGACACAGGAGAGCUAUUUAUUUACUAGAUCAUCCUGUUUCCUGUUUUAUUAUAUACGAAACUGAAACAAAAACGAUUUUGUAGGUGUUUCUAAAUGCCGUUCCCUUUUUACCAUUAGUCCGGUUUAAAAAUAUAAAUAUUUUUAUUUUACACUAAUUACUGUGUAACGUUUUGUUUUUUGAACAAUGAGUAGUUCCUGGUUGUAUAAGAAAACGUAAACGAGUUUUCAUUAUGAAAAAAUAUUGUAUUGUAAGUAGUAAUAGACGGAAAAUGUAUAAAUUAAUACCUAAGUUUGUCACUCUUCGUUCGUUUUCGUAGUUUUAGGACUACAAUUAUACUAAUCAGUUUGAUCCUAGACUUGACUUGAUUUUGUCACUCAUCUUUGCUGUACCUCGCACUUUUACAGUUAUAUGUCGUGGUCAAGUGCAACGUAAACGACUAAAACGACUUCUAACAAUAGGGAAAGCAGGAAGUCUGCGACAUAACAGACCUAGACCUAUUUUCCUUUCCUUGUUAAAUGACUCAUUUUUCCUGUUUUCCAAGCGUAUUAUACAAAAAAAUAAUCAUUGUCGAACUAGUAUUUUCAAUUAACGACGUAUCACUCGUAUAGAGUAGGUCCCGUGUGAAAUCUUAGUACUAAAAACCUUUUUUCAAACUCAACCUUAUACAGUUAGUCCUAUUUCCUUCUAUGAGACCAGGUCUACUUGUUUUCACCCAUUUUUUAAGGUUUAAGACCAGGGUAACGUGUUAAUUGAUACAUGUAUCCCGUUGUACGAGCACCCGAAGACCCGUAGGGAAGGAUGGAGUUAGUACUGUGGCCGGACCUUCAUAUCUCGCGCAAUGGAGAAGUUACGAACGUAAGAAGUCGUAGACGUUCUACUAUCUCGAUCGGUUAGAGUGGCUCUCUAGCAGCGGUGGGACGAACUUCGAGGAUAAACGACUUCUACACUGUGGUCUCAGCAGACUCGAAGGUGACCCGUUACACAUCUGUUGGAACUCGAAGUAAAGGAGUUAGUGGAAUAGUCGGAGGAACAACUUGACUCCCUAUGUAUAUUUCCCCCCUAAAGCAGGUACAGCCACGACCGUCGGUGGGACCACGAGACUUAGUUCUUAAAUAGGAACCUAACGUAUAGACCUCCCAUGAGAAAGACGCUGACAUCCCAUUGAUAUUGGGUUUUGUUCUUCCGUCUACGCGUGUGUAGUCUUGGUUUAUUUCUUAGGACCUCGUACAUACAUAGAUACGUACGUACGAAUGAACAAUAGCACGUUCUUAGGGUGCCGACCUGCUGCGACCGCAAGCCGGCCUGCUUCAUGAAGGAGCCUCUGCAGCAGAACUGGACUUACGUUUACUUGUAUAAGACUAGUUUGGACUUGGAGCUAGAAGAAGUUCUCGAAGUGGCUCUGCGUGUCGCCUUUUGGUCUCAGGCAGGACGCGGCACCUUACCUUUACCGUGCUUGGAACUUCCGCUGUACCACGAGCGACAACAAGUGGUGGAACUCUAACGUCAUCGUGCCGAACAGGUCGAGCUGAUGCGUGUUCUUAAGUCAAGUUGGUUGCAUCUCUUUUGGUGCCUCCCAAAAAAUAAAACGUCUUACGCCUCUUUUAGAGUUCUUGUUGAAUGU